UACGAAGGGGGCUAGCGUUGUUCGGAAUCACUGGGCGUAAAGGGCGCGUAGGCGGCUAGAUAAGUCGGGGGUGAAAGCCUGUGGCUCAACCACAGAAUUGCCUUCGAUACUGUCUGGCUUGAGUCCGGAAGAGGUUAGUGGAACUGCGAGUGUAGAGGUGAAAUUCGUAGAUAUUCGCAAGAACACCAGUGGCGAAGGCGGCUGACUGGUCCGGUUCUGACGCUGAGGCGCGAAAGCGUGGGGAGCAAACAGG
rnacentral:rRNA from 1 species